rnacentral:lncRNA from 1 species
AUAAUUGCGUAUUAGUGAAUCUUGACCUUAUUAAUUGAAGUCAGUUCGUUUAUAAUUGACGUGGAACAUAAAUAAAUAUCUGAAGCAAAAUUUAAGUCACCUGAAAACAAAUUCGAUGAAAAUAUCCUAUAUUCUUGCAAUGUUUAUAAAAAAUCCCAAACUUAAUAACAUUCAGAAACAACCCCACUUGUUUGAUUAGUCUGAAACAUUACUACAAUUUUAAAAUAAAAUUCUCCUAAUCGGGAGCACAGAUACGUACCGACUACAUCACUUACCAACUGCAUAUGAUUACAUCAACGGUUAUAUUAUUAUAUUAUAAUAAGGUCCCUUGUAAUAUUUGUACUAUAUAUAUAGCAAAACAGGUGAAUAUAUUUGCAUAAUGCAUAUGUAUGGUAUUGUUACUAUCCAUAAUCUUUAUAAUAUUAUUACGGUCGAACAAGCUUAAGAGAUUCCAAAUUUACCAUAUAGUUAAAAUACAUUUUGAUAAAUGUAAAUAGUUCUGUGAAAUUUAUCCAAAAACC